rnacentral:piRNA from 1 species
UGCCUCUUAGCACCACUGGAGAGGCUGGG